rnacentral:misc_RNA from 1 species
CCAAAGCUGCUUUGGCCCAGGAGAAAAGGAGACGCCUUGAGGAGGGUGAAGAAGUCCAAGAAACAAGCAUCAGUGAAACCACAUUCAAGAAACCGUACAAAAAAUUAGACCAUGAUGAGAAAGAUAAUAAUGAACAAAGUGACGACAAUACGCAACGUCAACCUGAUCCUGAAAAUCAAAGAGAAAUUUUGUUAGACAUUGAAGAGAAGGGGACUGAUGAAGAAGACUUAAUUUCAAAUUCCCAGAAGAAAGGAGAAAGUAAGGAUGAGAAAGAUGCAUCCGUCGAAGUAACUAAUUUUUAACGUCCAUCGGCUUUAAAUAUCAUUAGGAAAUAUUUACAACACGUCAGCAUCAUUAAAAAUUUUAGAACAUCAAAAAACUUGUAACUGGCAGUAGUUAUUUUAUUAUGUAAAUAUUUUGUUAUAAAAUAAAGAUUAAAGAUAUAAGAUGUAUGAAGUUUGAGAAUUUGAAAAUUUGAAAACAAAAAAUAAAAUGUUACUCAUAACUUGAAAAAUAGCUAAUAUGAAAUAAAAUCAUCAAGAUAUG